GCCAUGUCCCAUCUGUGCAGGACCCCACUGGAAAUCGGACUGUCCAACUCACCCUGCAGCCACUACCAGAGCUCCUGGAACUCUGGCCCAAGGCUCUCUGACUGACUCCUUCCCAGAUCUUCUCGGCUUAGUGGCUGAAGGCUGAUGCUGCCCCAUCACCUCGGAAGCCUCCUGGACCAUCACAGACACUUUCAGUAACUCUUACAGUGGAAGGUUUCUCUGGUAGGAAGAAUGCUCCUGAAAGAUGUCCACAUCUUAAUCCUUGAGGCCUAUGAGCAUAUUAUGCUGCAUGGUAAAUGGCUACAGACCUAAGAUGGAAGGAAUA
rnacentral:lncRNA from 1 species